CCGAGUCCAGAGGAAAACCAAAUGGCUGAAGACUGACAAGCUGGGCCAAAGGCUAAGAAGAUGAGGCACAAUGCUGGAAAGACUGUCCUGCUUCUUGGCUCGCUGAGCCCUGCACUGUCACGGGCUUAUUUGAGAACCUGACACACACUAAGCACUCGUGUACAAGUUAAGCACUUGUUGAGGAUGAUGAUGG